UACGUAGGGCGCAAGCGUUGUCCGGAAUUAUUGGGCGUAAAGAGCUCGUAGGCGGUUUGUCGCGUCGGCCGUGAAAUCUCCACGCUUAACGUGGAGCGUGCGGUCGAUACGGGCAGACUUGAGUUCGGUAGGGGAGACUGGAAUUCCUGGUGUAGCGGUGAAAUGCGCAGAUAUCAGGAGGAACACCGGUGGCGAAGGCGGGAUCUCUGGGCCGUUACUGACGCUGAGGAGCGAAAGCAUGGGGAGCGAACAGG
rnacentral:rRNA from 1 species